UACGUAGGCAGCAAGCGUUGUUCGGAGUUACUGGGCGUAAAGGGUGCGUAGGCGGUUGUUUAAGUUUGGUGUGAAAUCUCCCGGCUCAACCGGGAGGGUGCGCCGAAUACUGAACGGCUAGAGUGCGGGAGAGGAGAGUGGAAUUCCUGGUGUAGCGGUGAAAUGCGUAGAUAUCUGGAGGAACACCGGUGGCGAAGGCGGCAUCCUGGACCAAUACUGACACUGAGGAGCGAAAGCCAGGGGAGCAAACGGG
rnacentral:rRNA from 1 species